rnacentral:rRNA from 1 species
AUUGAACGCUGGCGGCAUGCCUAACACAUGCAAGUCGAACGGGGCAGCAAUGCCUAGUGGCGGACGGGUGAGGAAUACGUAGAAAUCUGCCCUUAAGUGGGGGAUAACCAGGGGAAACCCUGACUAAUACCGCAUGAUCUCUUCGGAGCAAAGAGGGGGACCGCAAGGCCUCUCGCUUCUGGAUGAGCCUACGUCUGAUUAGCUAGUUGGUAGGGUAAAGGCCUACCAAGGCGACGAUCAGUAACUGGUCUGAGAGGAUGAUCAGUUACACCGGAACUGAGACACGGUCCGGACUCCUACGGGAGGCAGCAGUGGGGAAUAUUGGACAAUGGGCGCAAGCCUGAUCCAGCAAUGCCGCGUGUGUGAAGAAGGCCUUCGGGUUGUAAAGCACUUUAGGUCGGGAGGAAGGGCUGUAGGCUAAUACCUUGCAGUUUUGACGUUACCGACAGAAUAAGCACCGGCUAACUUCGUGCCAGCAGCCGCGGUAACAC